rnacentral:rRNA from 1 species
GGUAACACGUGGGUGAUCUGCCCUGCACUUCGGGAUAAGCCUGGGAAACUGGGUCUAAUACCGGAUAGGAGCCAUUUUUAGUGUGAUGGUUGGAAAGUUUUUCGGUGUAGGAUGAGCUCGCGGCCUAUCAGCUUGUUGGUGGGGUAAUGGCCUACCAAGGCGGCGACGGGUAGCCGGACUGAGAGGUUGGUCGGCCACAUUGGGACUGAGAUACGGCCCAG